CGGGCGCAGGCGCCGAGAGGCGCACGGGAGACCUCAGGCCCAGACUCCACUCCCCAGCUGUGAAAGGACUGCUGGCCAGACCCCCAAGCUAGCCCGCCAGGCCUCCAUAGAGCUGCCCAGCAUGGCUGCGUCCAGUACCAAGAGUUGGUGGGAGACGGGUGAAGUACAGGCUCAGUCUGCGGCCAAGACUCCAUCCUGCAAGGAUAUUGUGGCUGGAGACAUGAGCAAGAAAAGCCUCUGGGAGCAGAAGGGAGGCUCCAAGACCUCAUCAACAAUUAAGAUGGACUCUGUGACUACAUGACUAAUAAAAUAUGGCAGAAAUGACACCAUGCAGUUUCCAAGCCCAGGCCUUAGGAGACAGGCAGCUUCCAGUUCAGUCUUUUGGAGGGUCAGCUCUGGGGCCCUCAGCCAUCACGCAUGGAGUCCAACCACCCUGAGACGUCAUGCUGGAGACCCACCUGUGGAUGCCCCAGUCAAGAGUCCUGGCUGAGCCCAGCCUCCCAGCCACCCCCACCCAAGGCAUCAGACCACGAAGCUUCUGGCCAAGGCUUCACCAACUUCACUUGAUGCUGUGAGGAACAGAACUGCCCAUCCAAGCCCUGCCAGAAUUUCUAACCCACAAAGCCAUGAGUCACAAUAAAUGCCAUGGGACAAAAACAGUCAUGCAUGUUGCUUUUGUCAUACAUUAGUGGUAGUUCAUCGCACGGCAAUAGAAAACCAAAAUACCUGUCUACUGGGUUCGUCCAUUUGGAUGCCACAGAGGCACCUGAAACAGAACACGUUCAUUACUUAACUCUGGUUCUUCCUUCCACACUGAC
rnacentral:lncRNA from 10 species